AUCGAAUCCCGCUGAAGCUGAAUUGGCGGCGUGUGAAUGUCAGGGCGGUCCCAUGUAAGUUGGGAAGCGUUAGACGGAGCGAGGUUGAUGUAGACAAGGAAGAAGAAGACAAUGGUAGCCUGUGACUGAACAUCUCCUUGAGGAUCAAGCUUGUGGUGGUUCUAAUUACCGCCAUAUUUUGGGGAGUUUGAAGUGAAAUAGGAACCAAGUAGAAGACACACACAGACAAUCUGAGACUUGUGGCUCUAUGUCUCUAUCGGGUUUUCAAAAUUUUGA
rnacentral:misc_RNA from 1 species